rnacentral:lncRNA from 1 species
UGAGUUCUGUCUCCAAAUUUGUUCUCUGCAUAUACGAAAGUGUUUAUGAAACAUGCAUGGAGGCGAUAUUGCUGAUAAAAAUCGAGCAUUUGAUCAGUAUGCUGAAGAACGGUGACAACGAUGAUGACGUUAUCUAUGAUUAUGCUCCAGCAGCAUGAGUGGAUUAUAUCUUUGUUAGACCAAAAAGAUUUUGUCUGUGAAC